UACGAAGGGGGCUAGCGUUGCUCGGAAUCACUGGGCGUAAAGCGCACGUAGGCGGAUUCCUAAGUCGGGGGUGAAAUCCUGGAGCUCAACUCCAGAACUGCCUUCGAUACUGGGAAUCUUGAGUCCGGGAGAGGUGAGUGGAACUGCGAGUGUAGAGGUGAAAUUCGUAGAUAUUCGGAAGAACACCAGUGGCGAAGGCGACUUACUGGACACAUAUUGACGCUGAGGUGCGAAAGCGUGGGGAGCAAACAGG
rnacentral:rRNA from 1 species